UAGCUUGCUACCUGACCUAGCGGCGGACGGGUGAGUAAUGCUUAGGAAUCUGCCUAUUAGUGGGGGACAACAUUCCGAAAGGAAUGCUAAUACCGCAUACGCCCUACGGGGGAAAGCAGGGGAUCUUCGGACCUUGCGCUAAUAGAUGAGCCUAAGUCAGAUUAGCUAGUUGGUGGGGUAAAGGCCUACCAAGGCGACGAUCUGUAGCGGGUCUGAGAGGAUGAUCCGCCACACUGGGACUGAGACACGGCCCAGACUCCUACGGGAGGCAGCAGUGGGGAAUAUUGGACAAUGGGCGAAAGCCUGAUCCAGCCAUGCCGCGUGUGUGAAGAAGGCCUUUUGGUUGUAAAGCACUUUAAGCGAGGAGGAGGCUACUUGGAUUAAUACUCUAGGAUAGUGGACGUUACUCGCAGAAUAAGCACCGGCUAACUCUGUGCCAGCAGCCGCGGUAAUACAGAGGGUGCGAGCGUUAAUCGGAUUUACUGGGCGUAAAGCGUGCGUAGGCGGCUUCUUAAGUCGGAUGUGAAAUCCCUGAGCUUAACUUAGGAAUUGCAUUCGAUACUGGGAAGCUAGAGUAUGGGAGAGGAUGGUAGAAUUCCAGGUGUAGCGGUGAAAUGCGUAGAGAUCUGGAGGAAUACCGAUGGCGAAGGCAGCCAUCUGGCCUAAUACUGACGNUGAGGUACGAAAGCAUGGGGAGCAAACAGGAUUAGAUACCCUGGUAGUCCAUGCCGUAAACGAUGUCUACUAGCCGUUGGGGCCUUUGAGGCUUUAGUGGCGCAGCUAACGCGAUAAGUAGACCGCCUGGGGAGUACGGUCGCAAGACUAAAACUCAAAUGAAUUGACGGGGGCCCGCACAAGCGGUGGAGCAUGUGGUUUAAUUCGAUGCAACGCGAAGAACCUUACCUGGUCUUGACAUAGUAAGAACUUUCCAGAGAUGGAUUGGUGCCUUCGGGAACUUACAUACAGGUGCUGCAUGGCUGUCGUCAGCUCGUGUCGUGAGAUGUUGGGUUAAGUCCCGCAACGAGCGCAACCCUUUUCCUUAUUUGCCAGCGAGUAAUGUCGGGAACUUUAAGGAUACUGCCAGUGACAAACUGGAGGAAGGCGGGGACGACGUCAAGUCAUCAUGGCCCUUACGACCAGGGCUACACACGUGCUACAAUGGUCGGUACAAAGGGUUGCUACCUAGCGAUAGGAUGCUAAUCUCAAAAAGCCGAUCGUAGUCCGGAUUGGAGUCUGCAACUCGACUCCAUGAAGU
rnacentral:rRNA from 1 species